ACGCUCGACACCUACGGGAGACAGCAGUGGGGAAUAUUGCACAAUGGGGGAAACCCUGAUGCAGCAACGCCGCGUGAGUGAAGAAGUAUUUCGGUAUGUAAAGCUCUAUCAGCAGGGAAGAUAAUGACGGUACCUGACUAAGAAGCUCCGGCUAAAUACGUUCCAGCAGCCGCGGUAAUCUGAGCGGGCUGGCAAGGC
rnacentral:rRNA from 1 species